UGAGCAAUCUGCCCUUCUCAUCGGAAUAAGCGUUGGAAACGACGUCUAAUGCCGAAUACGACCUCCUUUCGCAUGAUCGGAGGUGGAAAGCUCCGGCGGAGAAGGAUGAGCUCGCGGCCUAUCAGCUAGUUGGUGUGGGUAAUGGCCCACCAAGGCAUCGACGGGUAGCUGGUCUGAGAGGACGACCAGCCACACGUGGGACUGAGACACGGCCCAGACUCCCGUACGGGG
rnacentral:rRNA from 1 species